CCUGCAUUCUCUUUCCAAAUUUCUUUUCCUUGAUGAUUUGAAGGAAUGUACCAGUACUACUGUUCUGCAGACUUGUUCUUCAGAAACUCUUCCGCUGUAAGGAAAAUGUAACCUGAGCCUGACUCUAACUCGUUCAAAAGCACUUCUUCAUUCGUUUGGUGUUUAUGGGAAGGAGUAGCGCAUCUGCUCUCUCACUUACAACUCGCACAAAUGCUAUUUUAGUUUUGAGCUUUGUAGCUAGGAGUACAUUAUAAACUAUGCUACAGGGUUGCCGCGUCCUUCUGGUUUAUUAGCUAGCAGAUUUGUGAAUGUGAAUGGUAAGUUUUAGAACCCCUUUCCUUUUGAAGUUCGACUAGUCAGUCGGAUAGACAUUUGGGUAGGAAGCAUCCACCCACCAGUCAAAAACUAAACCAGCAAACGUGGAGAGUAAAUUACCCAUUCAAGAGGUCUGCACAAGCAAUGCUACAAAUAUUCUAAAUUGGAGUUGGAGCUAUAUUGUAGUCUUUUUGCGGGUUUGUAUAUGCAACUUAUUUGGGAACUGAGGUUGCUGCCUGGUGAACUCUAUGUUACAUGCUGUUGAAUGCAGCACAACGUUCCAGUGUUUCAAGGACUUGUACCGAUGAACACGGGUUGGAGUGGUUUAUGCCUAAUAAUACGGAUCGAUUGUUAGAUUGACUCUUGAAGUUCCUUGCAACAUUUGCUACUCUCUGGUCACGAAGGUGGCUUGAGGAUCAUCUGUGUCCCUUAUACUUGAAGGCUUCUUGAUUUUUUCUUUUUUCUUUAACUUUCCAGGAGAGCUUUUUCCUCUGACCCAGCUCAGAUCAACCAGUCAAAAAGAACGAAGAGAAAGAAGCCAGAGAUUGCCGAAGGCAAUGGAAGAUAUGGAAGAGGAUGGCCACAUCUCUCAGACUUCAUCACCGCCAACACCGCCAUCACCUCUUCCCAUAAGUACAGGACCUGGCAAUCAAAAAUACUAUUUCUCGCCAUCUCCAACUCCAUCCCCGCCAUUUUCACCACCGCAGUCCAGUCAUACAUCUGCAGAAAACCUUCCUCUUCUGCAGGAGUCAUCUGUUCCUACUCGAACGCCGCCUUUGGCAUUUUCCUUGGACCGUAAACAAGCAGAUGAAGCAGAGGAUUCCAGAAGUUCGUGCCUUAAGGACUUGUAAGCUCUUCUUCAUCCUUUACUUUGCUAAGUAGAUGGUGAGCAUCAAUUUUCAACAGGAUCAGGUGGGAUCCAUAUUAGGAACAAAGUAGAGCGUUCACUCUUGCACAAAGUGUUAGCUUAAUUUGUACUAGCGCAGAAGAUAGGAAACUACUGCAUCACCUUCAUCUGUUCCACUUCCUGGGACUUCAAUAGCUAGAAGUAUCUUUGAAUGGUAGGUUUUAACAUUUGAAGCGCCAACUACUCGGCUGUGUAGACAUUUUUUAGCAGGAAGCCUACAACUACCAGUCAAACCCAGCAAUCCCGUUUAAACAAGAACAGUAGGGAAUCACUUUCCUUCCAAAUUUUCGGAGCAGGCAAGCAGAGCUCAUAUAGUUAUUUUGCUGGUUGGCUAUACCACCAGGGCAUUAGGCCUGAUGUAUCCUGCUAGCAAGUUGGAGUGGUUUAUUCGAAGAUGCUGCAACUGCUUCAUUGAGUCUUACACAUCGAGGAGUCAUCAUCAGCUACACUAGCAACAGCGAGCGAUUGUUUGUAACCAUUGUUUUUUGGAUUUUUACCAUUUCUCAGGACCAAUUAGCUUCUUCUAACCUGUGACCUGACUCAUACGUCAGAGGUUGUAAACUUUACAUGUUUGUGUAACUGCCCAUACGAACACAUCAAAUUUGUUUUAGGAAAUGCUCAAAUUUGACCAAAAAUGUAGAGAGAACUGUGAGGGAAGAUCUGAGUCUGUUGGUCCAGAAA